CCUACGGGUGGCAGCAGUGGGGAAUAUUGGGCAAUGGGCGCAAGCCUGACCCAGCAACGCCGCGUGAAGGAAGAAGGCUUUCGGGUUGUAAACUUCUUUUCUCAGGGACGAAGCAAGUGACGGUACCUGACGAAUAAGCCACGGCUAACUACGUGCCAGCAGCCGCGGUAAUACGUAGGUGGCAAGCGUUAUCCGGAUUUACUGGGUGUAAAGGGCGUGUAGGCGGGAAAGCAAGUCAGAUGUGAAAACCCUGGGCCCAACCUUGGACCUGCAUUUGAAACUGUUUUUCUUGAGUACUGGAGAGGCAGGCGGAAUUCCGGGUGUAGCGGUGAAAUGCGUAGAUAUUAGGAGGAACACCAGUGGCGUAGGCGGUCUGCUGGACAGCAACUGACGCUGAGGCGCGAAAGCGUGGGGAGCAAACAGGAUUAGAUACCCCGGUAGUC
rnacentral:rRNA from 1 species